AGCGAACGCUGGCGGCAGGCUUAACACAUGCAAGUCGAGCGGGCGUAGCAAUACGUCAGCGGCAGACGGGUGAGUAACGCGUGGGAACAUACCUUUUGGUUCGGAACAACACAGGGAAACUUGUGCUAAUACCGGAUAAGCCCUUACGGGGAAAGAUUUAUCGCCGAAAGAUUGGCCCGCGUCUGAUUAGCUAGUUGGUGAGGUAACGGCUCACCAAGGCGACGAUCAGUAGCUGGCUGAGAGGAUGAUCAGCCACAUUGGGACUGAGACACGGCCCAAACUCCUACGGGAGGCAGCAGUGGGGAAUAUUGGACAAUGGGCGCAAGCCUGAUCCAGCCAUGCCGCGUGAGUGAUGAAGGCCCUAGGGUUGUAAAGCUCUUUUGUGCGGGGAAGAUAAUGACGGUACCGCAAGAAUAAGCCCCGGCUAACUUCGUGCCAGCCGCCGCUGUAAG
rnacentral:rRNA from 1 species